GAUGAACGCUGGCGGCGUGCCUAAUACAUGCCAGUCGAGCGAACAGAUAAGGAGCUUGCUCCUUUGACGUUAGCGGCGGACGGGUGAGUAACACGUGGGUAACCUACCUAUAAGACUGGGAUAACUUCGGGAAACCGGAGCUAAUACCGGAUAACAUUUGGAACCGCAUGGUUCUAAAGUGAAAGAUGGUUUUGCUAUCACUUAUAGAUGGACCCGCGCCGUAUUAGCUAGUUGGUAAGGUAACGGCUUACCAAGGCGACGAUACGUAGCCGACCUGAGAGGGUGAUCGGCCACACUGGAACUGAGACACGGUCCAGACUCCUACGGGAGGCAGCAGUAGGGAAUCUUCCGCAAUGGGCGAAAGCCUGACGGAGCAACGCCGCGUGAGUGAUGAAGGGUUUCGGCUCGUAAAACUCUGUUAUUAGGGAAGAACAAACGUGUAAGUAACUGUGCACGUCUUGACGGUACCUAAUCAGAAAGCCACGGCGAACUACGU
rnacentral:rRNA from 1 species